AGUUGUUCAUUCUCAGCUUUCUGAUUGUAGCUGAAAUAUGACCCCACCCGCUUCACACUCUUGCUUUCGUGGAGAAGUCCACCACUAGGCUUCCCUACCAUGACAAAACCACAUCCUGAACUCGCCUCUGGUGGACAGGUUUGGUUAUGCUCACUUUAGUAGCAGCCACUCAGAACAAACUGGUUGAGACAAGAUGAAAUAUGAAUACAGUUAUGCAUGCUCCAGUAUGAUCUUUCUCAUGGAGGUGAAAAGAAUAAGGCAUAUUGUACAGUCUCUUUGUAAACUGUGAAGUACUGUCAGGGUGCUGGAAUCUCUCAUUUCUGCAGAGAGAUGACUAUAUCCAUCGGGAAGGAUUUCCCACUAGGAGCAGAAGACCCGAGAUUAGUGUAGGUGAUACAAGUUAGAGGUUUUCCAAUUUCUGGGAGUUGUCAUGGUGUUGGUCCAUCAUGCCUGCAGUCCCAGGCAAGAAGACAGAGAAAGUGUUGGGGGUGUUUGGUCAUGCUGAAGGAUCUGAGUCUAUCAUGGCUGCAAAGAGUCGUGGCUGUAGGAGCUGGAACCUGACUCACACCUUCACAUGAAAGAAUGAAACAGAGAGCAAACAGGAAGCAAGGCAAGACUAUAAAGAGACAAAGUCCACCCCCAGUGACAUUAAGGUCUUCCACCAAGGUUCCUUCCAUCAACAAGAUUCCACAACCUCCCCCCAUAGGGGACCAAGUGUUCUGAGCCAAUGGAGGACCCUCUCAUUUCAAACUAACACAAAGUGUUAUUUGGACACUUAAUCCAUCUGCUCUCUGAAUGUUGGCUCCUGUUCCCUGGACUCCACCCAUUUCCCUGACUGACAGGCAGAAAUUUGGGACUUUGAACUCAGGGGAUGGAUUUCUAUCUUGGAGCUGUCAGUUUCCUGCUCUGUGGAUGAAUUGUGCCAAAACCCUAGCCUUGUGUAGCUGAUAUGAGAAAGGAUGUCCAGCCAAUAUUUAACACCACAUCUGGCAGACACCAGACUAAUGAAUACCUAAGUUCCCUUGACUUUCUGUCUUGUGUCAGCUUCCCCCCUGCUCCCCGUGCCUUUCUUUUGAGCAGUGGUGAGUCUCCUCUCUUGGGCUUCAUCUUGUAUAAUGUGAAGUUUUGGCAAGGCCCUUCAUAUUUCUCCCUUGCCCAGGGGAGGCUUGCUGAGGGAACACAAAUGACUUUUCUUCAGCACCUGUAUAUACAAUGUCUGAAACUGCAAUAAAAGAGAGUUGGCAAGAGACCCAAA